CCGGAAAUGAAGAAGACGUAGAGAUGGGCUGUAGCUGAUCCCUAGUGCAUGCGUGACUCUGACAUGGGUGAGAUUUAAACCUGUGUUGCCGUGAAUAUUGAGAUUUCCAGGUUGUAUAUUAUUGCAGCAGGACCUCACUUAAGCUGAUUAAUACAACUGAGGAGAGUCUGAUCUCUUGGAUGGGCUUCUUGUGAGAAUCAGAGAGAUGUGUGUGUACUUGGAAGGUUCUGGAUAGAAGAGUGACGAAGGUGUGAAGGGCAUGGAGCCCAUCCUCCAAAGAGCUAAGAGUUAGUAGAAGAGACAGAGAUUUUGAAAAAAGUAUGUUGGGGUUACCAUGUGGCUCAGAAGGUUAGGAACCCAACAGAGCAUCAGUGAGGAUGGGGGUUUGAUCCCUGGCCUCGCUCAGUGGGUUAAGGAUCUGGCAUCACCACAAGCUGCAGUGUAGGUCGCAGAUGAGGCUUGGAUUCCGUGUUGCUGUGGCUGUGGUGUAGGCUGGUAGCUGCAGCUCUGAUUCAACCUCUAGCCUGGGAACCUCCAUAUGCUGUGAGUUCGGCCCUAAAAAGGAAGAAAGGAAAAGGUUAAAAAAAAGAGAAAAAAGUAUGUUAAUAACAACGUAUAGGAGAACUGUGGCAUUUGUAAGGGAUUCAGUCUGGCCUGUCACAAAUUCCCCAAUUCAACAAAACCUCCUAACAGAAGAUUUUCCUCAGAAAAUGUUUGCGGAACAGGGAGCUGAGAGCAGCAAAACUGCAUCGUGAUGUGGAUGCUGGGUGGCUGUUUGAGAUUGCUCACUAGCUGCCCAGUGCAAACACCGCACCUCGUUGCACCUCCGUUCCUCCUGGGCCUUGAGGGUGAUGAUGUUGGGCCUGAAGUCUCAUCCCAGAAGCUUUCUUGGUGCCUUGCAAAUCCCCAACACUCAGUAAACAUGGACACGGUGAGGGGGACCAAGGCCCUGCCUGCCAAGCAUGUGGUUUUCACUGCCGGUUACCCCUUGGGGCAAUUAAUAAAGGCUUCACGCCUGGCUGUCCCCUCCAUUUCCACCACCAUUAACUUAUUUCGGG
ensembl:lncRNA